GACGAACGCUGGCGGCGUGCCUAAUACAUGCAAGUUGAGCGCUGAAGGUUGGUACUUGUACCAACUGGAUGAGCAGCGAACGGGUGAGUAACGCGUGGGGAAUCUGCCUUUGAGCGGGGGACAACAUUUGGAAACGAAUGCUAAUCCCGCAUAAAAACUUUAAACACAAGUUUUAAGUUUGAAAGAUGCAAUUGCAUCACUCAAAGAUGAUCCCGCGUUGUAUUAGCUAGUUGGUGAGGUAAAGGCUCACCAAGGCGAUGAUACAUAGCCGACCUGAGAGGGUGAUCGGCCACAUUGGGACCGAGACACGGCCCAAACUCCUACGGGAGGCAGCAGUAGGGAAUCUUCGGCAAUGGACGAAAGUCUGACCGAGCAACGCCGCGUGAGUGAAGAAGGUUUUCGGAUCGUAAAACUCUGUUGGUAGAGAAGAACGUUGGUGAGAGUGGAAAGCUCAUCAAGUGACGGUAACUACCCAGAAAGGGACGGCUAACUACGUG
rnacentral:rRNA from 1 species